rnacentral:rRNA from 1 species
AAUCCUGGCUCAGGAUGAACGCUAGCUACAGGCUUAACACAUGCAAGUCGAGGGGCAGCGGGAUUGAAGCUUGCUUCAAUUGCCGGCGACCGGCGCACGGGUGAGUAACGCGUAUCCAACCUUCCGUACACUCAGGGAUAGCCUUUCGAAAGAAAGAUUAAUACCUGAUGGUAUCUUAAGCACACAUGUAAUUAAGAUUAAAGAUUUAUCGGUGUACGAUGGGGAUGCGUUCCAUUAGGUAGUAGGCGGGG